UACGUAGGUGGCAAGCGUUAUCCGGAAUUAUUGGGCGUAAAGCGCGCGCAGGCGGUUUCUUAAGUCUGAUGUGAAAGCCCACGGCUCAACCGUGGAGGGUCAUUGGAAACUGGGAAACUUGAGUGCAGAAGAGAAAAGCGGAAUUCCACGUGUGGCGGUGAAAUGCGUAGAGAUGUGGAGGAACACCAGUGGCGAAGGCGGCUUUUUGGUCUGUAACUGACGCUGAGGCGCGAAAGCGUGGGGAGCAAACAGG
rnacentral:rRNA from 1 species